rnacentral:misc_RNA from 1 species
UGGCUCUCGCAUCGAUGAAGAACGCAGCGAAACGCGAAAUGUAAUGUGAAUUGCAGAAUCUCUAGUGAAUCAUCGAAUCUUUGAACGCAUCUUGCGCCCAGUGGUUAUUCCGUUGGGCAUGCCUGUCUGAGUGUCCUUAUUCUUCUCAGCCCCCCUUCUUUGUCAUGAAGACUGGGCGGUCUGGAGCCUGAGUGCCGGCCUUGUUACGAAAGCCCACUUCAAUUCAAAAGGUCUGGCGCGCAAGCGGUUUGACCGGGUGUUGUAAAGUCGCCUCACUCGGAACGCUGGAGCGCUCGGAAAUGAAAAAGACAUUAUAAGCGAUUUUGACCUCAGAUCAGGUAGGAUUACCCGCUGA